rnacentral:lncRNA from 1 species
GUGCGUUUAAAGGGAGAAGCCUGACAUUUGUGGCUAUGAUCAUUCAUAGUCUCGUCAUCCGCCCCAUUGAUCGAGGACACCGGUCACAUCACUGUCUUGAAGCCCAGUGACAAAUGUGGCAUCUGACUGACAAACCAAAAUAAGGCUACCUGCUUCAUGGGAUGUUUUCAGGACAAAAUUUCCCUCUCCAUGGACAUCUGAGUCAAACAGCAGGCACUGAAUAUCACUGCCAUCGAGCCUGAAAGCAACUGGCCUGCCUCGCCUGACGCUCCUCCUCAUGUCUACCUCAGACUGCUGCUGUCCUGAACACAGCUCUUCUGGUCUUCACCAAGUCCAUAACAGUUUCUCUCUUCAUUCUGCUAUCCCAGUAUCACAGCCAUUCUACAGGUCAGACACACACAGCAGGGAGAGGGGAGGAAGUGAGGGUGACCGACGGACAUCUCUUCCCUGACUGCAAACAUCCUUUGUAAGCCUAGGAACCCCUUGAAGACACUUUGUUGCAGAGACAUCUCAACUAAACUUUGGACAAAAUGGAUUUCAUCCAGCAGCUGAUCUAAAAAUGAGCACUUGGCUGGUAUUGGACAGUUUCACACCUCAAGUGUGAGGAGAUUAGGCUUCCAUGUAGCUUUGUCUCAAGAUGGUUGUUGUUUGUUGUUGUUUGUUUGUUUGUUUUUAAAGAAGAAUGGUAUGUGGCUUCCUUGCUCCACAG